UAGCAANCAGGAUUAGAUACCCUGGUAGUNCACGCCCUAAACGAUGUCGAUUAGCUGUUGGGCAGCAUGACUGCUUAGUAGCGAAGCUAACGCGUGAAAUCGACCGCCUGGGGAGUACGGUCGCAAGAUUAAAACUCAAAGGAAUUGACGGGGACCCGCACAAGCGGUGGAUGAUGUGGAUUAAUUCGAUGCAACGCGAAGAACCUUACCUGGUCUUGACAUGUACGGAACCCUCCAGAGACGGAGGAGUGCCUUCGGGAGCCGUAACACAGGUGCUGCAUGGCUGUCGUCAGCUCGUGUCGUGAGAUGUUGGGUUAAGUCCCGCAACGAGCGCAACCCUUGUCAUUAGUUGCCAUCAUUAAGUUGGGCACUCUAAUGAGACUGCCGGUGACAAGCCGGAGGAAGGUGGGGAUGACGUCAAGUCCUCAUGGCCCUUAUGACCAGGGCUUCACACGUCAUACAAUGGUCGGUACAGAGGGUAGCCAAGCCGCGAGGCGGAGCCAAUCUCACAAAACCGAUCGUAGUCCGGAUUGCACUCUGCAACU
rnacentral:rRNA from 1 species